GGAUAACCUACCCUUAGGACUGGGAUAACCCUGGGAAACUGGGGAUAAUACUAGAUAGGCAAUUUUUCCUGGAAUGGUUUUUUGUUUAAAUGUUUUUUCGCCUAAGGAUGGGUCUGCGGCCGAUUAGGUAGUUGGUUAGGUAAUGGCUUACCAAGCCGUUGAUCGGUACGGGUUGUGAGAGCAAGAGCCCGGAGAUGGAACCUGAGACAAGGUUCCAGGCCCUACGGGGUGCAGCAGGCGCGAAACCUCCGCAAUGUGAGAAAUCGCGACGGGGGGAUCCCAAGUGCCAUUCUUAACGGGAUGGCUUUUCAUUAGUGUAAAGAGCUUUUGGAAUAAGGGCUGGGCAAGACCGGUGCCAGCCGCCGCGGUAACACCGGCAGCUCUAGUGGUAGCAGUUUUUAUUGGGCCUAAAGCGUCCGUAGCCGGCUUAAUAAGUCUCUGGUGAAAUCCUGUAGCUUAACUGUGGGAAUUGCUGGAGAUACUAUUAGACUUGAGACCGGGAGAGGUUAGAGGUACUCCCAGGGUAGAGGUGAAAUUCUGUAAUCCUGGGAGGACCGCCUGUUGCGAAGGCGUCUAACUGGAACGGUUCUGACGGUGAGGGACGAAAGUUAGGGGCGCGAACCGGAUUAGAUACCCGGGUAGUCCUAACUGUAAACGAUGCGGACUUGGUGUUGGGGUGGCUUUGAGCUGCUUCAGUGCCGAAAGGGAAGCUGUUAAGUCCGCCGCCUGGGAAGUACGUCGCAAGACUGAAACUUAA
rnacentral:rRNA from 1 species